UCGAGAAUCUUCCGCAAUGGGCGAAAGCCUGACGGAGCGACACCGCGUGCAGGACGAAGGCCCUCGGGUUGUAAACUGCUGUCACGCUCUAGGAAUGCCAUGUCGUUAAUAGCGGCAUGGUUGACCAAGGCGAAAGGAAGUGGCGGCUAACUCUGUGCCAGCAGCCGCGGUAAGACAGAGGCCACGAACGUUGUUCGGAAUCACUGGGCAUAAAGCGCACGUAGGCGGCUAGGUCCGUCCAAUGUGAAAGCCCCCGGCUCAACCGGGGAAUUGCAUCGGAUACAGCCUGGCUUGAGGACGGUUGGGGUGAGUGGAACUCCUGGUGGAGCGGUGAAAUGCGUAGAUAUCAGGAGGAACACCGGUGGCGAAAGCGGCUCACUGGACCGUAACUGACGCUGAGGUGCGAAAGCUAGGGGAGCAAACGGGAUUAGAUACCCAUGUAGUCCCUGAGCGGGCUGGCAAGGCGCAU
rnacentral:rRNA from 1 species